rnacentral:rRNA from 1 species
UCGCGGCGGCGUGCGCAGAAGGGUCUGGGCUCGAGCCUGCCUGGAGCCGCCGCCGGUGCAGAUCUUGGUGGUAGUAGCAAAUACUCCAGCGAGGCCCUGGAGGACUGAUGUGGAGAAGGGUUUCGUGUGAACAGCCGUUGCACACGAGUCAGUCGAUCCUAAGCCCUAGGAGAAAUCCGACGCCUACGGCGACGGGAUUUUUUUCACUUUUCGAAUCGACCCGUUGAUCGGGCGAAAGGGAAUCCGGUUCCUAUUCCGGAACCCGGCAGCGGAACCGCUGUUUGUCGGGCCCUCACAAGGGGUUCGUCAGGGUAACCUAAAAGGGCCCGGAGACGCCGUCGGGAGCCCCGGAAAGAGUUUUCUUUUCUGCAUGAGCGUUCGAGUUCCCUGGAAUCCUCUCGCAGGGAGAUAGGGUUUGGAACGCGAAGAGCACCGCAGUUGCGGCGGUGCCCGGGAAUUCCCGACGGACCUUGAAAAUCCGGGAGAGGGCCACGUGGAGGUGUCGCGCCGGCUCGUACCCAUAUCCGCAGCAGGUCUCCAAGGUGAAGAGCCUCUAGUCGAUAGAAUAAUGUAGGUAAGGGAAGUCGGCAAAUCG